rnacentral:rRNA from 1 species
UACGAAGGGGCUAGCGUUGCUCGGAAUCACUGGGCGUAAAGCGCACGUAGGCGGAUUGUUAAGUCAGGGGUGAAAUCCUGGAGCUCAACUCCAGAACUGCCUUUGAUACUGGCGAUCUCGAGUCCGGGAGAGGUGAGUGGAACUGCGAGUGUAGAGGUGAAAUUCGUAGAUAUUCGCAAGAACACCAGUGGCGAAGGCGGCUCACUGGCCCAUAACUGACGCUGAGGCACGAAAGCGUGGGGAGCA